UACGGGGGGAGCAAGCGUUGUUCGGAUUUACUGGGCGUAAAGGGCGCGUAGGCGGCCUCUGCAAGUCGACUGUGAAAUCUCCGGGCUUAACCCGGAAAGGUCAGCCGAUACUGCGGGGCUAGAGUGCAGAAGGGGCAACUGGAAUUCUCGGUGUAGCGGUGAAAUGCGUAGAUAUCGAGAGGAACACCUGCGGCGAAGGCGGGUUGCUGGGCUGACACUGACGCUGGGGCGCGAAAGCUAGGGGAGCGAACGGG
rnacentral:rRNA from 1 species